AAAUUUAUGGUUCAUCCACGUGCUUGAACUAUUACAUCCAGUGGGCAUAUGGUGAAAUUCCACCAGUUUCGUUGUCGUCACAGUUAAGACUUAAGAGCAAGCGUUUUCAAUCUAGAAAUUCAUAUUUCCUAGUACUUUUGAAAACCCUAUGGUUUUUCCAAUGUCUGAAAAAGCAUUCAUUCAAAUUCAUACCAAUUCAUGGUAUAAUUCUGAAGUCUGUUGAAAUUCUAAUGAGCAUAAUUGUUUGUUGAAGAACCUUUACAAGAGUUUUAUCACCAGAUGAAUAUUUGUGCUGGCUUCACAACAAAUGAAUUUGACUGUUCAGUAGCUUAAACUAAAGUGUAGUUUGAUUGGUUUUUGUGACAAUGUCAAAGACUUCCACCAUGGUAGUAAAGUGUGGGCUACACUCAUUCUAUUUAAGUUCGUCUCAACAAUGAAAGUAUUUCUCAUCUGAUCUCACAUGUUGUAGCUUCAAUUUACAAGUCUGCUUGUAUGAAGGCAGCAUAACCACCAAUAGUCUAACCAAAACAUCAAAUCGAACAGCUCAUGAAUCAGUUAGACUUGACCAUAUGUUUCAUACCAUACUGGUUGCAGUUGGAAUGUCUUGAAAUAAAUUGCAUCCAAUCAUUUGAAAGGUGUGGCCGGUAUUUUCGCUGUCCAAGGUGCCAUAAAUGUUAAUUGUUUUGGAUCCGUGGUUGUUAGGCUGCCAUAUGCGUCUCUAUGAAGAAACCGAAAUGAAAGUUUUUGGUUAGAAGACCGUCAUCCGUGUCGGAUGUUUUAUUCCAAUCUGACCAGUUGAAUUGGAAACAUUGUGUCAUCAUCCUGGGACUUGAAUUGUCAACAUUUGGCAAAGAAUGGGAAAGCAGCGUGUAUUGCCCACACUUGUCUUUGGAUUUCUGGGAUGCCCAAUGCUGUUACAGGAAGUUUUUGCUAAUUAAUUCGACCCUUUAUGUACCUACUACCAGUUGGAGCAUUGAGCCGCAGCCCACAUCCAGCAUCGAAAUGUUUUGGGAGUGGAGUAUUUAAGUUAAACUACCUUCUUGAUGUGCUAUUAUACUUCAUUGCUCCUCUCUGUUAAAGGAAAAUACCUUCACAGUAAAUGAAUGUGUCAAGCUACUUUCUAAGAUUUUUAGAAAAAAAUUCAAAUAUUUUUUUUUUUUGCAUAGAUUGAAACUUAACCCUUUUCCCCAGUAUCCUGAAAUACUCACAACUUCCUUGUUGACAAGUUAUCUCUUGUCAAAGUACCAUGUUAUACGAUUGUUUUCUUGUUUUGAAGGUAACUUGAACACAAUAGGCAGUUAAGUUUAUCGAAUGGUUUUCUUACCAGUGGCGUGACAAAUAUGAACAGUUAACAAAAUAUAACGAUAGAUUGAUUUUCAA
rnacentral:lncRNA from 1 species